rnacentral:rRNA from 1 species
GGAUUGGAGUCUGCAACUCGACUCCAUGAAGUCGGAAUCGCUAGUAAUCGUGGAUCAGAAUGCCACGGUGAAUACGUUCCCGGGCCUUGUACACACCGCCCGUCACACCAUGGGAGUGGGUUGCAAAAGAAGUAGGUAGCUUAACCUUCGGGAGGGCGCUUACCACUUUGUGAUUCAUGACUGGGGUGAAGUCGUAACAAGGUAACCGUAGGGGAACCUGCGGUUGGAUCACCUCCUUACCUGAAAGAA